rnacentral:rRNA from 1 species
GACGAACGCUGGCGGCGUGCUUAACACAUGCAAGUCGAACGGAAAGGCCCUGCUUUUGUGGGGUGCUCGAGGGGCGAACGGGUGAGUAACACGUGAGUAACCUGCACUUGACUUUGGGAUAACUUCAGGAAACUGGGGCUAAUACCGGAUAGGAGCUCCUGCUGCUUGGUGGGGGUUGGAAAGUUUCGGUGGUUGGGGAUGGACUCGCGGCCUAUCAGCUUGUUGGUGGGGUAGUGGCUUACCAAGGCUUUGACGGGUAGCCGGCCUGAGAGGGUGACCGGCCACGUUAGGCCUGGAAUACGACCCGGACUCCAACGGUAGGCAACAGUGGAGAAUGGUGCACAAGGGGCGGAAGCCUAAUGUAGCAACGCCGCGUGCGGUAUGACGUCCUGCGGGUUGUAAACCACUUUCGCCUGUGACGAGGCGUGAGUGACGGUAAUGGGUGAAUAAGCACCGGCUAACUACGUG